rnacentral:sRNA from 1 species
CUUUAUUAAUAAGCAUUCAAUUGCAUUUUGCAUGCUAUUAAAAGAAAAAUUCAAAAUAUUUUAACUGGAACUGCACCCUGAAUGUUUGGUCAUGAACAGGUUUUAGGCCUAAAUGUAAUAAAGAAGAAAUAAUCUAUCAAGGAAAAUUAUCUAAAACUGAGGAACGUUGCAACUGUCCAAUGCCUUUUUUUCAGAAGCUUACUAUUUUUUGUAUGAAAAUGUAACUUUGCAUUUCUAUAGAAUACCAUGUAUGUAUUCUAGAAUUUUGAUUGAUGUUUACAGUUUAUACACACAUCUGUGAUAAGUUUCUUUACUGGAAGCUAUUUUUUAUCUGUAUUUUUUUUAAAAUUUUUUAGAGUUGUUUUUAUUCCUUUGUUUUUUAUGAAUUGUACCUGGUAGCUACUAGUCGGUUUACUAAUAAAAUGCCUAAAACU